rnacentral:ncRNA from 12 species
CCCGUCCGGGUCCGUGGUUGCUCCAGGAUCUCUCCCGUCGCGGUGACGCGGCUGGGCCGAUCCUGGCUAGCCGAUGCCAGCCGCAGGCGAAGCGGUCCACGUAAGGCGACUUCUCGUCGCUCGAUCACGGUGCGGUUUAGGAGUAAGUCCUGCCCCGUCACGACAUCAGAUGUGUCGUGUGCCGGGAGAAGGCCAGUAGUGGGCCAACACGCUCAUCGCAGCGCCGCGAACGUCUCAGCAGGCGAAUGUGGGGUCGAAGACCAGGUCGGCCGGUCGGG